UGGAGGAGGGACUGGACCCGGCUGGGGAUAGACUGGGGGGUCCUGUGGUGGCACCUGCUGAUAUGCUGGGGGCACUGGGUCGUGCUGUGGCGGUGCCGGGUAGUACCGUGGCUGGGGCACCGGGUUGUACUGCGGUAGUGGUGCCGGGUGGUACUGUGGGGGAGCAGGCUCGUGCCGGGGUGGCUCGGGAUCCGCUUGCUGUAGCGGUGGCUCAGCCCGUGGUAGUGGGGG
rnacentral:lncRNA from 1 species